GACGAACGCUGGCGGCGUGCUUAACACAUGCAAGUCGAACGGAAAGGCCUGCUUUCCCUUGUGGAUUGCGGGUACUCGAGUGGCGAACGGGUGAGUAACACGUGAGUGAUCUGCCCCCAACUUGGGUAUAAGCCUGGGAAACUGGGUCUAAUUCCCGAUAGGACUGCAGGGUGGUGCCUGUGGUGGAAAACGAUUUUCUAGUGGUUGGGGAUGAGCUCGCGGCCUAUCAGCUUGUUGGUGGGGUAAUGGCCUACCAAGGCGGCGACGGGUAGCCGGCCUGGGAGGGUGGACGGCCACAUUGGGACUGGGAUACGGCCCAGACUCCUACGGGGGGCAGCAGUGGGGAAUAUUGCACAAUGGGCGGAAGCCUGAUGCAGCGACGCCGCGUGGGGGAUGACGGCCUUCGGGUUGUAAACUCCUUUCGACCGCGAGGAAGCCACCUGGUUGGAAGGGUGGUGACGGUAGUGGUAGAAGAAGCACCGGCUAACUACGUG
rnacentral:rRNA from 1 species